UGUCUUUGACACUGAUUGUUUAUGUACAGUCAAAUGUGAGCUGGGCAAUAGGGUUGGGAAUUCCUGCUGCUUUGAUGCUCAUAUCUUGUUUGGUGUAUUUCAUGGGGUCCAAAAUCUAUGUCAAAGUUAAACCAAGUGGUAGUCCCAUUACUGGUAUUGUGCAAGUUUUGGUGGUUGCAGUAAAAAAAAGGAGUCUAAAAUUACCUGCAGAGCAUCCAAUGCUUUCCCUCUUCAACUAUGUGCCGCCCAUGAGUGUUAACUCCAAGCUUCCUUACACGUUUCAGUUCAGGUAACUACAUCAAGCUUUUAACUUUUUACUUUGCAG
rnacentral:lncRNA from 1 species